rnacentral:rRNA from 1 species
GACGUAGGGCGCGAGCGUUGUCCGGAUUUAUUGGGCGUAAAGAGCUCGUAGGCGGCUCGUCGCGUCGACCGUGAAAACCCGCGGCUUAACUGCGGGCUUGCGGUUGAUACGGGCGGACUAGAGGUAGGUAGGGGAGAACGGAAUUCCUGGUGUAGCGGUGGAAUGCGCAGAUAUCAGGAGGAACACCGGUGGCGAAGGCGGUUCUCUGGGCCUUACCUGACGCUGAGGAGCGAAAGCGUGGGGAGCGAACAGG